rnacentral:tRNA from 1 species
CGGGAUGUAGCGCAGCCCGGUUAGCGCGCCACGUUCGGGACGUGGAGGUCGUGAGUUCGAAUCUCACCAUCCCGA